GUUUUGGUGACCGAGUAUAGGUGAGAAAUUUUUAAUUUCUUUACAGGAAAAUUCCUCCAAAACA
rnacentral:tRNA from 1 species